rnacentral:rRNA from 1 species
UACGUAGGUGGCAAGCGUUGUCCGGAUUUACUGGGCGUAAAGAGCGUGUAGGCGGCCCCUUAAGUCCUGCGUGAAAUCCUGCGGCUCAACCGCAGACGGUCGUGGGAAACUGGAGGGCUAGAGUGCGGGAGAGGAGAGUGGAAUUCCCGGUGUAGCGGUGAAAUGCGCAGAUAUCGGGAAGAACACCCGUGGCGAAGGCGGCUCUCUGGAACGCAACUGACGCUGAGACGCGAAAGCGUGGGGAGCAAACAGG